rnacentral:rRNA from 1 species
UACAGAGGUCUCAAGCGUUGCUCGGAUUCAUUGGGCGUAAAGGGUGCGUAGGUGGCGAGGCAAGUCAGAUGUGAAAUCCCGGGGCUCAACCCCGGAACUGCAUUUGAAACUGCCUUGCUCGAGUACUGGAGAGGAGACUGGAAUUUACGGUGUAGCAGUGAAAUGCGUAGAUAUCGUAAGGAAGACCAGUGGCGAAGGCGAGUCUCUGGACAGUUACUGACACUGAGGCACGAAGGCCAGGGGAGCAAACGGG